rnacentral:lncRNA from 1 species
ACCAGCACGACCACCCUUCCACCAACCACCACCCCCAGCCCUCCAACCACCACCACAACCACCCCUCCACCAACCACCACCCCCAGCCCUCCAAUAACCACCACGACCACCCCUCCACCAACCACCACUCCCAGCCCUCCAAUAAGCACCACAACCACCCCUCCACCAACCACCACUCCCAGCCCUCCAACCACCACUCCCAGCCCUCCAACCACCACUCCCAGCCCUCCAACAACCACCACAACCACCCCUCCACCAACCACCACUCCCAGCCCUCCAACGACUACGCCCAUCACUCCACCAGCCAGCACUACCACCCUUCCACCAACCACCACUCCCAGCCCUCCAACAACCACCACAACCACCCCUCCACCAACCACCACUCCCAGUCCUCCAACGACUACGCCCAUCACUCCACCAACCAGCACUACUACCCUUCCACCAACCACCACUCCCAGCCCUCCACCAACCACCACAACCACCCCUCCACCAACCACCACUCCCAGCCCUCCAACAACCACCACUCCCAGUCCUCCAACAAUCACCACAACCACCCCUCCACCAACCACCACUCCCAGCCCUCCAACAACCACCACGACCACCCUUCCACCAACCACCACUUCCAGCCCUCUAACAACUACUCCUCUACCUCCAUCAAUAACUCCUCCUACAUUUUCACCAUUCUCAACGACAACCCCUACUACCCCAUGCGUGCCUCUCUGCAAUUGGACUGGCUGGCUGGAUUCUGGAAAACCCAACUUUCACAAACCAGGUGGAGACACAGAAUUGAUUGGAGACGUCUGUGGACCAGGCUGGGCAGCUAACAUCUCUUGCAGAGCCACCAUGUAUCCUGAUGUUCCCAUUGGACAGCUUGGACAAACAGUGGUGUGUGAUGUCUCUGUGGGGCUGAUAUGCAAAAAUGAAGACCAAAAGCCAGGUGGGGUCAUCCCUAUGGCCUUCUGCCUCAACUACGAGAUCAACGUUCAGUGCUGUGAGUGUGUCACCCAACCCACCACCAUGACAACCACCACCACAGAGAACCCAACUCCGACACCAAUCACCACCACCACUACGGUGACCCCAACCCCAACACCCACCAGCACACAGAGUACAACACCAACACCCAUCACCACCACCAAUACGGUAACCCCAACCCCAACCCCCACUGGCACACAGACCCCAACCCCGACACCCAUCACCACCACCACCACUAUGGUGACCCCAACACCAACAAUCACCAGCACACAGACCCCAACCCCGACACCCAUCACCACCACUACGGUGACCCCAACCCCAACACCCACCAGCACACAGAGAACAACACCGACAUCCAUCACCACCACCACCACGGUGACCCCAACCCCAACACCCACCGGCACACAGACCCCAACCACGACACCCAUCACCACCACCACCACGGUGACCCCAACCCCAACACCCACCGGCACACAGACCCCAACAACGACACCCAUCACCACCACCACCAUGGUGACCCCAACCCCAACACCCACUGGAACACAGACCCAAACCCCAACACCCAUCACCACCACCACUACGGUGACCCCAACCCCUACACCCACCGGCACACAGACCCCAACAUCGACACCCAUCAGCACCACCACUACGGUGACCCCAACACCAACACCCACCGGCACACAGACCCCAACCCUGACACCCAUCACCACCACCACUACGGUGACCCCAACCCCAACACCCACCGGCACACAGACCCCAACCACGACACCCAUCACCACCACCACUACGGUGACCCCAACCCCAACACCCACCGGCACAAAGAGUACAACCCCGACAUCCAUCACCACCACCACUAUGGUGACCCCAACCCCACCACCCACUGGCACACAGACCCCAACCACGACACCCAUCACCACCACCACUACGGUGACCCCAACCCCAACACCCACCGGCACACAGACCCCAACCCCGACACCCAUCACCACCACCACCACGGUGACCCCAACCCCAACACCCACCGGCACACAGACCCCAACAUCGACACCCAUCACCACCAACACUACGGUGACCCCAACCCCAACACCAACCGGCACACCGAGUACAACCCUGACACCCAUCACCACCACCACUAUGGUGACCCCAACCCCAACACCCACCGGCACACAGACCCCAACAUCGACACCCAUCAGCACCACCACUACGGUGACCCCAACCUCAACACCCACCGGCACACAGACCCCAACCCCGACACCCAUCUCCACCACCACUACGGUGACCCCAACCCCGACACCCAUCUCCACCACCACUACAGUGACCCCAACCCCAACACCCACCGGCACACAGACCCCAACCAUGACACCCAUCACCACCACCACCACGGUGACCCCAACCCCAACACCCACCGGCACACAGACCCCAACAACGACACCCAUCAGCACCACCACCACAGUGACCCCAACCCCAACACCCACCGGCACACAGACCCCAACAUCGACACCCAUCACCACCACCACUACGGUGACCCCAACCCCAACACCCACCGGCACACAGACCCCAACCACGACACCCAUCACCACCACCACCACGGUGACCCCAACCCCAACACCCACCGGCACACAGAGUACAACCCUGACACCCAUCACCACCACCACCACGGUGACACCAACCCCAACACCCACCGGCACACAGACCCCAACCCCGACACCCAUCUCCACCACCACUACGGUGACCCCAACCCCAACACCCACCGGCACACAGACCCCAACCACGACACCCAUCACCACCACCACCACGGUGACCCCAACCCCAACACCCACCGGCACACAGACCCCAACAACGACACCCAUCAGCACCACCACCACGGUGACCCCAACCCCAACACCCACCGGCACACAGACCCCAACAUCGACACCCAUCACCACCACCACUACGGUGACCCCAACCCCAACACCCACCGGCACACAGACCCCAACCACGACACCCAUCACCACCACCACCACGGUGACCCCAACCCCAACACCCACUGGCACACAGGCCCCAACCCCAACAGCCAUCACCACCACCACUACGGUGACCCCAACCCCAACACCCACCGGCACACAGACCCCAACAACGACACCCAUCACCACCACCACCAUGGUGACCCCAACCCCAACACCCACCGGCACACAGACCCCAACAUCGACACCCAUCACCACCACCACUACGGUGACCCCAACCCCAACACCCACCGGCACACAGACCCCAACCCCGACACCCAUCUCCACCACCACUACGGUGACCCCAACCCCAACACCCACCGGCACACAGACCCCAACCAUGACACCCAUCACCACCACCACCACGGUGACCCCAACCCCAACACCCACCGGCACACAGACCCCAACAACGACACCCAUCAGCACCACCACCACGGUGACCCCAACCCCAACACCCACCGGCACACAGACCCCAACAUCGACACCCAUCACCACCACCACUACGGUGACCCCAACCCCAACACCCACCGGCACACAGACCCCAACCCCGACACCCAUCACCACCACCACCACGGUGACCCCAACCCCAACACCCACCGGCACACAGACCCCAACAUCGACACCCAUCACCACCACCACUACGGUGACCCCAACCCCAACACCCACCGGCACACAGACCCCAACCACGACACCCAUCACCACCACCACCACGGUGACCCCAACCCCAACACCCACCGGCACACAGAGUACAACCCUGACACCCAUCACCACCACCACCACGGUGAACACCAACCCCCAACACCCACCGGCACACAAAACCCCAACAUCAACACCCAUCACCACCACUACGGUUGACCCCAACCCCCCCACCGGCACACAGACCCCAACCCCAACACCCAUUACCACCAAUGUGACCCCAACCCCACCCACCGGCACACAGACCCCAACCAUGACACCCAUCACCACCACCACCACGGUGACCCCAACCCCAACACCCACCGGCACACAGACCCCAACAUCGACACCCAUCACCACCACCACUACGGUGACCCCAACCCCAACACCCACCGGCACACAGACCCCAACCAUGACACCCAUCACCACCACCACCACGGUGACCCCAACCCCAACACCCACUGGCACACAGGCCCCAACCCCAACAGCCAUCACCACCACCACUACGGUGACCCCAACCCCAACACCCACCGGCACACAGACCCCAACCACGACACCCAUCACCACCACCACCACGGUGACCCCAACCCCAACACCCACCGGCACACAGAGUACAACCCUGACACCCAUCACCACCACCACCACGGUGACACCAACCCCAACACCCACCGGCACACAGACCCCAACCCCGACACCCAUCUCCACCACCACUACGGUGACCCCAACCCCAACACCCACCGGCACACAGACCCCAACCAUGACACCCAUCACCACCACCACCACGGUGACCCCAACCCCAACACCCACCGGCACACAGACCCCAACAACGACACCCAUCAGCACCACCACCACGGUGACCCCAACCCCAACACCCACCGGCACACAGACCCCAACAUCGACACCCAUCACCACCACCACUACGGUGACCCCAACCCCAACACCCACCGGCACACAGACCCCAACCACGACACCCAUCACCACCACCACCACGGUGACCCCAACCCCAACACCCACUGGCACACAGGCCCCAACCCCAACAGCCAUCACCACCACCAGUACGGUGACCCCAACCCCAACACCCACCGGCACACAGACCCCAACCACGACACCCAUCACCACCACCACUACGGUGACACCAACCCCAACACCCACCGGCACACAGUCCCCAACCCCAACAGCCAUCACCACCACCACUACGGUGACCCCAACCCCAACA